GAUGACCAGGGCUGAGAACUUGCUCCAGACCAUGAGUCUCCCCUUUGAGAAAGCAAGUAGACUCACAGUUUUUCAGCAUCUCAGGGAGCCUGCAGUGGUGAUCCAGUUCCUUCAAAGGGUCUGUGGAUUCUCUCGGCUUUCCUGGGUCAAAUCAGAAACCUGAUCGAUGAAUGGCUCUGAGUGACAAUGCUAAAUAUCAGGGGGCCAGGCACGAUGGCUCACACCUGUAAUCCUGGCACUUUGUGAAGCCAAGCUUGGACCUUUUUCCAGGUUGGCACUAGAUAUUCAUCAGACUUGGGAAAACUUAGGAUUUUUUAAAAGAAGGUACACAAAGAGAAAGAAUAAGGCCAUUUCCAGCUUCUGGCAUACAAAAUAGAUUAGAAGGCAACAUAGUAAACAGGGUAGGGUCUAGAGAGAGCAUUUCCCAAGUAACUUGAUCCUCUCUCUUCCAUCUCUCAAGGGCCUAACCUAGAGGAAUCUGCUUAUCACAAGACUUGCCACUUGUAAGCAAAAGGAGGGUAGGAUGUAGGGAAAGUAAGGGAAGACUUCUUUUUUUCCAGCUCUAGAUGAGGGUGAGAAGGGAACUGAGGGAGAGAGAGGGAGUCCAUCCUGGGGUUCCAGGCACAGGCCCUGUGACGGAGGAGGUGUGUUUCAUAAGGGAGGGUAAUGUGGAAGGCAGAGGAGGUGACUCUUAGGACUCUGGGAAGAAGUCCCCUCUCAACACAUCCUAACCCCAGUUUGAACACAGCUGCACCAUCUCGAAGGUGAGCACAGUCAGGCCAAGGGAAGCCUGAGGUUGUUUCUUGAUUUCCUCAAGUUCUAUGUGGGGUGGGUGAUGGAUGGAGGCCCAGAGGGCCUGCUUUGGGAGUUUCUCAAGGUGAAGCCCAAUGACUUGGCUACAAAGCUGGGUGAGCACCUGGGCCUGCAGACUGGAUGGGGAGCUUGAAAGAGAUCUGGGGUCUGAGGCUUGAGAAGCCCAUGCAAACCUGAAUCAAUCAGGAAGGAGUUCCCACUCUGGGCAAGCUGAGAAAGAGACCAAUGGCCACAGAAGUUAGCUGAGGGACAAAGGACACUGCCUCAGGCACCAGAGACUACUCAAAAGACCAUCAAAGACCUGGCUCUUCCCUCCGCCAAACACACAGUUCUCAGCUCACAUGCCUGGCUAACAUCUAGGGAAGAGAAGUGGGUAAAGAGAGUAUAUUAGUAAGGGUUCUCCAGACAAAUAGAACCAGUAAAAGCACUAUAUAAAGAGAGUCAUUAUAAAGAAUUGGCUUACAUGGUUAUGGAGGCUAAGAAGUCUUAAGAUGUGUAGUUGGCAAGCUGGAGACCCAGGAGAGCUGAUAGUUGAGUUUCAGUCUGAAGCUAAAAGCCUGAGAAGCUGAUGGUGGAAAUUCGAGGCCAAGUGUGACUCUGAAGGCAUGAGAAGACCAAUGUCCAGCUCCAAGACAGACAGAAAGACAGUGAAUUCUCCCUUACUCAGCCUUUUUGUUCCAUUCAAGCCUUCCACAGAUUGGAUGAAGCUCACCCAAAUUGGGGAGGGCAAUUUGCUUUGCUCAAUCUCCCAAUGUAAAUGCGAAUCUCAUCCAGAAACACCCUCACAGACUCGCCCAUCAUAAUGAUUAAUGAAACAUCUGGGCACCCUGUAGCCCAGUCAAGUUGACACAAAAUUAACCAGCAUAAGAAGCCAUGUAGAAACUGGGAAGUUUUCCUAAAAGAGACAGAGUAUUAGUGAAAGGACCAUUUACAUGCUCAGAUUGGGUUGAGCUUAAUCAAAAUUAGAAAUUUCGUUUUCUGUGUGUUUGCUUUUUGCUUUCUACUAACUGCUGAAUGGGAGAUUAUGAGAGGGAAUGGAGAGACAUCAAGAAAAAAACCUUACAUUUUCUCUGCUUAUUCAGCCAUGGAUAAAUAUAUGGAAACACAUUAUAUCUGUUCUGUAAUCUGCUUUUUUGACCAUGCAAAUAUACAUCAUAGACAGCUUUCUGGAUUAAUAAAUAUCGAUCUCCAUGAAAAUUAUCUUAAAUAUGUCCUUGGUAUUCCAUUGUCUAUAAAUGUCAAAAUGUAGACACUCAGACCCCUAUUGAUAGACAUUUGUUAUUUUUAAUUAAAUAGACACAAUUCACUCCAGAAAGCUUUCAGAGACUUUCAGUUAUAACUACAGCUUGGUUUUCUUUGUUUCAUAUAUGGAGAAAAAUAAAUUGUAUUUAUUCUUUGAAUAUGGGAGUGUGGGGGAAUAAAAAGAACAGAGAAUACGAAUUUGACAGGGAGCUUGUAAAUGGCUGUGGGAUGUUCAGAGAUGCGGUCCAUGCACGCCCUGUACAUGCCUGGCUAC
rnacentral:lncRNA from 1 species